rnacentral:rRNA from 1 species
UGCAAAUCAAUAUAAAUUGAUUUAUAAAUUAUUUAUUUAUUAAUUUUGUUUAAAUUAUUUUGUAGUAUAAAUUUAUAUAUAUAUAUACAUAUAUAUAUAUAUAUAUAUUUAUUUAUUAAUUAUAUUAAAAAUAAUUAUAUUUUUUUUUAUGUUUUAGUAAUUUUUAAUGAAAUAAUAAUUUUUAUGAUAGUUUAUUUGUAUUGUAAAAGAUUAUUGAAAAAUUUUGAAAAAUUUUUAUUUAAAAAGAAAAAUUAAUUAUUUGUACCUUGUGUAUCAGGGUUUAUUAAAUAAUUAAUAAUUUUAUUUAUUAAUCUCGAUUUUAUAAGAGUUAAUAAUUUAUGAAAGUUAAUGUUUAAAAAUUAUUUUUAAUAAAUUAUUAGAAAUGAAAUGUUAUUCGUUUAUAAAGGUAUCUAGUUUUUUUAGAAAUAAAUUUAAUUUAUUAAUUUUUAAUUUAUUUAUUAAUUUAUAAAUAAAUAAAUUUAUUAAUUAAAAUAUUUUAAGGGAUAAGCUUUGAAAUAAAAUAUUAAAAAUUUAAUUAAUUUUUUUGAGAAAAUAUAUGCAUAGAAUUAGCAAUUAUUAAAAAUUUUGUUAUAAAUUAUUUUAGAAUUAUAUUAUUUAUUUAUAUUUUAAUUUUUUAUAAAAAUUUUAUUUUUAAUUUUAUUUAAUAAUUAAUAAUGAUAAAAUUAGUAUAUUUCAUGUUUAAAUAAUUGUAAUUGAUAAGUUUAUAUAAAGAACUCGGCAAAUAUAUUACUCGCCUGUUUAACAAAAACAUGUCUUUUUGAGUUAUUUUUAAAGUCUAACCUGCCCAAUGAAUAAAUUUUAAUGGCCGCAGUAUUCUGACUGUGCAAAGGUAGCAUAACAUUAGUCUUUUAAUUGAAGGCUUGUAUGAAUGGUUGGACGAAGUAUAANCUGUUUCAUAUAAAUUUAUUUUAGAAUUUUAUUUUUUAGUUAAAAAGCUAAAAUUAUAUUAAAAGACGAGAAGACCCUAUAAAUCUUUAUAUUUUUUCUUUUUUUAUUUUUUAGAUUUAAUUUUAUUUAAAUAAGAUAAAUUAUUUUAUUGGGGUGAUAUUAAAAUUAAAAUAACUUUUAAUUUUNAAAAACAUUAAUUUAUGAAUAAUUGAUCCAUUAUUAAUGAUUAAAAGAAUAAGUUACUUUAGGGAUAACAGCGUAAUUUUUUUGGAGAGUUCUUAUUGAUAAAAAAGUUUGCGACCUCGAUGUUGGAUUAAGAUAUAAUUUUAGGUGUAGUUGCUUAAAUAAUAAGUCUGUUCGACUUU